rnacentral:rRNA from 1 species
AACGCGAAGAACCUUACCAGGUCUUGACAUCCCGCUGACCGGCAUGGAGACAUGUCUUUCCCUUCGGGGACAGCGGUGACAGGUGGUGCAUGGUUGUCGUCAGCUCGUGUCGUGAGAUGUUGGGUUAAGUCCCGCAACGAGCGCAACCCUUGAUCUUAGUUGCCAGCAUUCAGUUGGGCACUCUAAGGUGACUGCCGGUGACAAACCGGAGGAAGGUGGGGAUGACGUCAAAUCAUCAUGCCCCUUAUGACCUGGGCUACACACGUGCUACAAUGGACGGUACAAAGGGCUGCAAACCCGCGAGGGGGAGCCAAUCCCAUAAAACCGUUCCCAGUUCGGAUUGCAGGCUGCAACUCGCCUGCAUGAAGCCGGAAUCGCUAGUAAUCGUGGAUCAGCAUGCCACGGUGAAUACGUUCCCGGGCCUUGUACACACCGUGUCGA